ensembl:lncRNA ZNF252P zinc finger protein 252, pseudogene
GUUCGCGCUCCUUCCCUUCCCGUGGUCGAGCCGAGUCCUGACCUGAGGGCUGCAUCAAGAUCUUGUCAUUCCACAUCGUGGUUUCCUUUGAGGAUGUGGCUGUACCCCUCUCCCAGGAGGAGUGGGACUGUCUGAUCCCUGCUCAGAGGGGCCUCUACAAGGAUGUGAUGAUGGGGACCUAUGGGAACCUACUCUCAUUAGGUAAGUUCCCUCCCUGGGGCUCAGCUCCUGGGCUUCCUGCUCCUUAACCUUGAGGAUCAAGCUUGGGGCUCAGAGGCUCCUCACCCCCUGGGCCCAAAGACCAGACAUUUUGACCAUGGUACCAUGCAGGUCUGGUUUGCACAGAGAGGGGGACAGGUGGUACUGGGACCCUCCUUGAUUUUUUUUUUUAAUAGGCAAUGUCUCACUCUGUUGCCCAUCCUGGAGUGCAGUGGUGAGACCAUAGCUCACUGUAACCUUGACGUCUUUGGUUGAAGAGAUCCUCCUACCUCAGCCUCCCAAGUACCUGAGACUACAGGCAUGGGCCACCAUGCCUGUCUUAUUUUACUUUUUUAGAGACAGAGCCUCUGUGUUGCCCAGGUUGGUCUCAAACUCCUAGCCUCAAGGAAUCCUCCCACCUUGGCCUCCCAUGCCUUUCCAACCCUCCCUGAUUUAUAGAAGGAGAAUAUUAUUCAUUGCACACCUAGUACCUCCCUAUCCCCUGAAUUAAUCUUUCUGCAUCUUGAUGAUCGGUGGUAGGAUACACAGUUUAUAAACGAACCUGAGGCUAACAAAUACUGUCACUUUUCUUAAGUUUACACAGCCUAUUGGUGGCAGAUCUGGGAUAUGGAUCUGUUCGGUUUCAGAGCCCUGCUUUCCUUUCACUGGAAUGUGCUCUUCGCUUUAGCCCUUUUUUUUUUUUUUUUUUGGUUUCUGCUAGCCUUUAUUUGAGAAAAUUUACACAAAAAUCCCCAAUGCAACAUUUACAAGUGAAUCUGUAUAAAUCCCAUAUGCCUCUUUCCCAAACUGAAAAAUGGCUUUAUGACAGGGGUCCAUGACAAUGGUAUAAAAAUACUUACUUAAACUGCAUCAUUCUCAUUUAUAUUAUACAGACCAUUUUGGAUAAUAUGCUCAAAAGUGGAGGAAAGCACAUAACACCCCUGUUUUUAAAGAUUAUUUGCUCUUGUAUCAGUCUUUUGUCAAAGGCAAAUACUUUUACUUCUUGGAUAAAACCAAGGUAUAAUAUCAAUUAACUUUUAAACCAAAAGCACAAAAUGUCCUAGUUGAUAGUUUUGGCAUGAGUAAAGGGAAGGGACAUGAGAGAACAUCAGCUCCUACAAAGCUUAAGUUUAGGGUCACACUUGGGAACAAAAGCAUCAACAAAACAAAAUAUUCUCUUCUCCUAUCUUCUUGACAUUUUGUCACAUCAGAAGAACAUAACUAACAGAGUAGCUUUCAUUGCUCCUGAAAAGGGGAAAGGCACCAGUCAGAAAUAGGAAAGAAAAUCUUGUUAGGUUAAUGGUACAUGAUAGAAUUUCACAUUAAAAAGUUUAAUGAUGGAGGAUGGGCGUAGUGGCUUACACAUGUAAUCCCAGCACUUUGGGAGGCUGAGGUCAGUGGAUCACUUGAGGUCAGGAGUUCAAGACCAUCCCGGCCAACACGGUGAAACUCCAUCUCUACCAAAAAUACAAAAACCAGCCAGGUGUGGUGGCAUGCACCUGCACUCCCAGCCACUCUGGAGGCCGAGGCGGAAGAACUACCCGAACCCAGGAGGUGAAGGUUGCAGCAAGCUGAGAUAGCACCAUUGCACUUCAGCCUGGGCAUCGCAGCAAGACUCUGUCCC